CGCGUAGGCGGCUUGGCAAGUCAGAUGUGAAAUCCCCGAGCUCAACUUGGGAAUUGCAUCUGAAACUGUCGAGCUUGAGUCCUGGAGGGGAUAGUGGAAUUCCCAGUGUAGCGGUGAAAUGCGUAGAUAUUGGGAGGAACACCUGUGGCGAAGGCGGCUAUCUGGACAGUGACUGACGCUGAGGCGCGAAAGCUAGGGGAGCGAACG
rnacentral:rRNA from 1 species